CAACUCCUACGGGAGGCAGCAGUGGGGAAUAUUGCACAAUGGGCGCAAGCCUGAUGCAGCCAUGCCGCGUGUAUGAAGAAGGCCUUAGGGUUGUAAAGUACUUUCAGCGGGGAGGAAGGUGAUAAGGUUAAUACCCUUAUCAAUUGACGUUACCCGCAGAAGAAGCACCGGCUAACUCCGUGCCAGCAGCCGCGGUAAU
rnacentral:rRNA from 1 species